rnacentral:rRNA from 1 species
UUGAACGCUGGCGGCAGGCCUAACACAUGCAGGUCGAACGGUAACAGGAAGCAGCUUGCUGCUUUGCUGACGAGUGGCGGACGGGUGAGUAAUGUCUGGGAAACUGCCUGAUGGAGGGGGAUAACUACUGGAAACGGUAGCUAAUACCGCAUAACGUCGCAAGACCAAAGAGGGGGACCUUAGGGCCUCUUGCCAUCGGAUGUGCCCAGAUGGGAUUAGCUAGUAGGUGGGGUAACGGCUCACCUAGGCGACGAUCCCUAGCUGGUCUGAGAGGAUGACCAGCCACACUGGAACUGAGACACGGUCCAGACUCCUACGGGAGGCAGCAGUGGGGAAUAUUGCACAAUGGGCGCAAGCCUGAUGCAGCCAUGCCGCGUGUAUGAAGAAGGCCUUCGGGUUGUAAAGUACUUUCAGCGGGGAGGAAGGGAGUAAAGUUAAUACCUUUGCUCAUUGACGUUACCCGCAGAAGAAGCACCGGCUAACUCCGUG